rnacentral:rRNA from 1 species
CCUACGGGAGGCAGCAGUGAGGAAUAUUGGUCAAUGGCCGUAAGGCUGAACCAGCCAAGUCGCGUGAAGGAAGAAGGAUCUAUGGUUUGUAAACUUCUUUUAUAGGGGAAUAAAGGUAUCCACGUGUGGAUAUGUGCAUGUACCUAUGAAUAAGCAUCGGCUAACUCCGUGCCAGCAGCCGCCGUAAUACGGAGGAUGCGCGCGUUAUCCGGAUUUAUUGGGUUUAAAGGGUGCGUAGGUUGUUAUUUAAAUCAGCGGUGGAAGUUGGUGGCUCAACCAUAAAAUUGCCAUUGAAACUGGAUGACUUGAGUGUGUGUGAGGUAGGCGGAAUGCGUGGUGUAGCGGUGAAAUGCAUAGAUAUCACGAAGAACUCCGAUUGCGAAGGCAGCUUACUAAGCCAUAACUGACACUGAAGCACGAAAGCGUGGGGAUCAAACAGGAUUAGAUACCCGAGUAGUC